UACACACACAUUCCCAAUUAUAAAAGGGUGUGCACACUUAUGCUAGCUGGCUAUUGGAAGUUUUUUGUUUUUCUAUUUUAUAUUACGAUCAUAAAUAAUCAAAUCAAUAAACUUGUGCUAGAAUCAAAAUGUGCAGACGGGUGAUCCGCUGUGUCAUCCCUGAAGGGCAGCAGUCAGAGAGGAAAAUAAUUAUAACUUUCUUUUACUUUGACCUCGAUUAAAAUGGCUGGUUCCCUAUGUGAAGAAACAAGUUCCCCAGAUUCUUCACUUGAUGCAGUAUCCUGACUUUACAUUCAGCCAAUCAUCAGCAACAUGGGAGAUGUCAUGUGAUGCUGUGGGGUGGAGCUUCAUGAACCUUUCGGAUGUUUACAUAAUAGAGUACAGAAAGACCUUUUAUGUAAAUAAGAAUAUUUUCAUUUGGCAAGACCAUUCAUCAUGUUCUUGGUUAUGCUGGUGUGCCUGUGGCUUUCACUAAGUGACUCCAUGGCAGAUCCAAUAAAGCCACUUUUCAGUCAUAAAGUUGUACAUGAAGAUGAUGAUGUUACUUUGUCCUGUAGCUACAAAGACUUCAGUGGUAGUGUAAAUAAUCUGCAAUGGUACAGGCAAUAUCCAAAAUCCAAACCUGAGUUCCUUCUUUACAUCUAUCCAAGCGGAGUUAAAAGUGACCCCAUCCCACGUCUGUCUGCUGAAGUUGAUGAUGAUGAUAAAAAACAAGUGGAUCUGCUCAUCUCCUCUGCUGUUGUAUCAGACUCUGCACUAUACUACUGUGCUCUGGAGCCCACAGUGACAGGAAAUCCAUCUGUGCUGUACCAAAACUCUGACACAGUUUUGUUAUGCUAAAGGCAGAACAACUGAUAAAGGUCUACAGUGAGGGAAAAAAGUAUUUGAUCCCCUGCUGAUUUUGUAUGUUUGUCCACUGACAAAGAAAUGAUCAGUCUAUAAUUUUAAUGGUAGGUUUAUUUGAACAGUGAGAGACAGAAUAACAA